rnacentral:pre_miRNA from 1 species
GUGUUGAGGCUUCAAUUCCGUAGUGCAUUGCAGUGCAUGCUGCCACCUGCAAGCAGUGCGGGAGUGAGGCUGAGGCAUGCCUUAACUAC